GGAAUCGCACGAAUGGAAAUGUGCGUCCAAGCAGUGAGUGUGAGAAGUAGGCAAAUCCGCUUCUCGCGAAGCAUGAGCUGUGAUGGGGAAGGAAAUUAAGUACGGAAGUUCCUGAUUUCACGCUGUCAAGAAAAGCCUCUAGGAAGAGUAGUACUGCCCGUACCGCAAACCGACACAGGUAGAUGAGGAGAGAAUCCUAAGGUGAGCGAGAGAACUCUCGUUAAGGAACUCGGCAAAAUGACCCCGUAACUUCGGGAGAAGGGGUGCUCUAUUAGGGUGCAAGCCCGAGAGAGCCGCAGUGAAUAGGCCCAGGCGACUGUUUAGCAAAAACACAGGUCUCUGCAAAACCGUAAGGUGACGUAUAGGGGCUGACGCCUGCCCGGUGCUGGAAGGUUAAGAGGAGUGCUUAGCUUCGGCGAAGGUACGAAUUGAAGCCCCAGUAAACGGCGGCCGUAACUAUAACGGUCCUAAGGUAGCGAAAUUCCUUGUCGGGUAAGUUCCGACCCGCACGAAAGGCGCAACGAUCUGGGCACUGUCUCAACGAGAGACUCGGUGAAAUUAUAGUACCUGUGAAGAUGCAGGUUACCCGCGACAGGACGGAAAGACCCCGUGGAGCUUUACUGCAACCUGAUAUGGAAUGUUUGUACCGCUUGUACAGGAUAGGUAGGAGCCGAAGAGACGUGUGCGCUAGCAUACGAGGAGGCAAUGGUGGGAUACUACCCUGGCUGUAUGACCAUUCUAACCCGCCACGCUUAGCGCGUGGGGAGACAGUGUCAGGUGGGCAGUUUGACUGGGGCGGUCGCCUCCUAAAGAGUAACGGAGGCGCCCAAAGGUUCCCUC
rnacentral:rRNA from 1 species